UACGGAAGGGGCAAGCGUUGUUCGGAAUCAUUGGGCGUAAAGGGCGCGUAGGUGGUUCUGUAUGUCUACCGUGAAAGCAUACAGCUCAACUGUAUUUUGUCGGUAGAAACUGCAGGACUUGAGGCUGGGAGGGGCUGGUGGAAUUCCCUGUGUAGCGGUGAAAUGCGCAGAUAUCAGGAGGAACACCGGUGGCGAAGGCGGGUAGCUGGGCCGACACUGACGCUGAGGCGCGAAAGCCAGGGGAGCGAACGGG
rnacentral:rRNA from 1 species